CUACGGGGGGCUGCAGUGAGGAAUAUUGCACAAUGGGGGGAACCCUGAUGCAGCAACGCCGCGUGGAGGAUGACGCAUUUCGGUGUGUAAACUCCUUUUAUAUGUCAAGAAAAUGACGGUAGCAUAUGAAUAAGCACCGGCUAACUCCGUGCCAGCAGCCGCGGUAAUACGGAGGGUGCAAGCGUUACUCGGAAUCACUGGGCGUAAAGGACGCGUAGGCGGGUUGGGAAGUCAGGUGUGAAAUCCUACAGCUUAACUGUAGAACUGCACUUGAAACUUCUAAUCUAGAGUAUGGGAGGGGGAGAUGGAAUUAGUGGUGUAGGGGUAAAAUCCGUAGAUAUCACUAGGAAUACCUAAAGCGAAGGCGAUCUCCUGGAACAUUACUGACGCUAAAGCGUGAAAGCGUGGGGAGCAAACAGGAUUAGAUACCCCGGUAGUC
rnacentral:rRNA from 1 species